UACUGAAAGGAAAGCUGAUAAUAGGAAGGGAAAUGUUGCUAAAGUAGAUGAGUCAAGACAGAUAUCCUAAAAAAAGGGGCAUAAAACUGCAUCAUUGUCAAGACCUGUGAUUUGCAUAUGUAAUGAUCUAUAUGCACUUGCCCUGAGGCCUUUGCGUCAGGUAGCAAAGGUUCACAUUUUUGUUCAACCGACAGUGAGUCGUGUGGUAAGCAGACUCAAAUAUAUAUGUAAUAUGGAAGGCCUAAAGACAAAUUCCACGGCACUUGCUGCACUUGCAGAGUAUACUGAAUGUGACAUCCGUUCGUGCUUGAACACACUAUAGUUUCUCAACAAGAAGAAUCAAACCCUCAAUGUGUUUGAGAUCAGUUCCCAAGUGGUAGGUCAAACGGACAUGUCUAGAAGCAUCUUUGAUAUCUGGAAAGAGAUUUUUCAGAACAGAAAAAUGAAGCGAGCAAAAAGAUCUGAUAAUUGCUGCAGUGGUAUGUCCAAUGGAUUUGACUUUCUAUACCCUCUCAUAUCUAAUCGUGGUGACUAUGAUUUAAUUUUGGAUGGCAUCCAUGAAAAUAUUUUCCAGCUUCAUUAUCAUGACCCAAUAAUGCAGAAGACAUUUAUCAGCCUCUUACUGCAAUUAGUUUACAUCGUUUAAUAGCCCAAGUUCAAAAACCAAUUAUUGAAUGGCCGAAGUCUUUUAUGAGAUACCGAACGACAUUCAUGGAAAAGAGGGAUAUUUUGAGGUCUUGGCACAACAAAAUUGCACCAUAUAUUUCAAGGCAUUUGUCUAUUAAAUCUUUUGUAGAAGAUACGGUUUCUCCAUUAUUGCAUAUUCUAUCACCACCAACUCUAA